CCUAGAGUGGUCCUUUAAGUAUUUUCAUUUGUGAAAAUUAACAUGUCUGAAUGGAAAUAAAACAAAUGUUCUUUAUGGUUCUUAUGGAAAUAAAACUAUAGCAACAUACUCUUGUUAAAUGUGUUUUGCUUGCCUAAUUUUAAUGCAGAUUGUUCUUUUCCUUUUGAAGUUUAGCUGAUGAGCUAAGUUUAGCAAAUGAGCAGAUCAAUUAAUCUAUACAGGUGGAUCGGGGCAGGUAACGCCCUUGAAUUCAGAGUGAUGCUAGGAAAGGGUAAGUAUUCAAAUUAUCAUUAAGCAAUUAAAU